rnacentral:rRNA from 1 species
AACGAACGCUGGCGGCAGGCCUAACACAUGCAAGUCGAACGUGAAGCCACCUUCGGGUGGUGAAAAGUGGCAGACGGGUGAGUAACGCGUGGGAACCUACCUGGUAGUACGGAAUAACUCAGAGAAAUUUGGGCUAAUACCGUAUACGCCCCUAGGGGGAAAGAUUUAUCGCCGAAAGAUCGGCCCGCGUCGGAUUAGCUUGUUGGUGGGGUAAAAGCCUACCAAGGCGACGAUCCCGUAGCUGGUCUGAGAGGAUGAUCAGCCACACUGGGACUGAGACACGGCCCAGACUCCUACGGGAGGCAGCAGUGGGGAAUAUUGGACAAUGGGCGAAAGCCUGAUCCAGCCAUGCCGCGUGGGUGAAGAAGGCCCUAGGGUUGUAAACCCCUUUCAGCGGGGAAGAUAAUGACGGUACCCGCAGAAGAAGCCCCGGCUAACUCCGUG